GAAAUGCGAUAAGUAAUGUGAAUUACAGAAUUCAGUGAAUCAUCGAAUCUUUGAACGCACCUUGCGCUCCUUGGUAUUCCUUGGAGCAUGCCUGUUUGAGUAUCAUGAAAUCUUCAAAGUAAAUCUUUUGUUAACUCAAUUGGUUUCUACUUUGGUAUUGGAGGUCUUUGCAGCUUCACACCUGCUCCUCUUUGUUCAUUAGCUGGAUCUCGGUGUUAUGCUUGGUUCCACUCGGCGUGAUAAGUUAUCUAUCGCUGAGGACACUGUAAAAGGUGGCCAAGGUAAAUGCAGAUGAACCGCUUCUAAUAGUCCAUUGACUUGGACAAUACUUUUAUGAUCUGAUCUCAAAUCAGGUAGGACUACCCGCUGAACUUAAGC
rnacentral:misc_RNA from 1 species